rnacentral:lncRNA from 1 species
GUAAUAAUCUAUGGGGAUUUGCCAAAAAAUAAAGAAAAUGUAAUAUAUUUAUCAAAUCAUCAGUGUACAGUUGAUUGGAUUAUUGCAGACAUGUUGGCAAUUAGGCAGAACGCACUUGGGCAUGUCCGGUAUGUUUUGAAAGAUGGAUUAAAGUGGCUUCCAUUGUACGGGUGGUAUUUUUCACAGGUGCCUAUGGAGAACCUUGGAUCAUGUCACCUGAAAUGCUUGUCUCUAGGGAGUGAACUAUCUCACUUUUAUUUUAGAGCACAGAUACUGUUGAGGGUUCCUGCUUUCUGUUCAGUAUGUAAGCAGUUCAAGUGUUCCCCAAGGUACCUGUCGAUCAGGUUCAGUCAGUGUUGUUUUCAGCCUGGAAAUGGAAUGUCUUUGUUGUCCUCUGGAUGAGUGCCCUAGGCAAUGAGUGAGCUGUAAAGCUAGGCUGAAGCAUGCAUGCUUGCCAUCCUUUCUUCUAAAAUUGUACUGUUUAGAAAAAAAUAUGCUACAGAAAAAAUAAAACCAUUUGUGAUUUAUUUUUAUUGGUACAAGGGUUGCUCUCCCAGUCCCCUAAAUAAAUACAAAACAUCACACCCUGUUGCCACAUCCACCACCUCACUGUACUCACAUCCACUGUUUGAUCUCCGUAAACACUAAGCAAGUGUCAGAGAAUGUCAGUGGGUGCCGUUGUUUCCACAUGGAGGAACUCAGUACACCUUUGCUUCAUGCGCACUUCCAUGUCAGACACCACUUUGUCAGACUGCCCCACUGCUGCCAUCUGUCACACGGCAACUAAAUGUAAUGGAAUAUUGGUGGAAAGUUUCAGCCUCUACUGUCAUACCACCAACAUCUGCCUCUGACAUCAUGGGCCAACAGAAUAAAAUAGAUGGCAUUACUUUCUGAAUAGCCCUCGUUCCUGUCCCCACCAAGACUCCAGAUCUCUACAUUUUGAUUCCACUAAAGAGAUGGUGACCGGUCUGCUACGUGCUGUUUCUAUUUGCCUAUAGUCAUUACAUUGGUGAUGAUUUAAGUCUGAUUGAUUAAAUUACAGACAGAAUAUCUAUUCCAUCUGCUUUCGCUAGGUGUCCAAUUUUAUUUUUUUUCCAAAAUUUUGGAAAAUGACUAUUGCUUUGUGGAAUAUCCGGUGCUCAGUUUCCUGUCUGCUAUACUGACUGUUAAAAGAAGGUUCCUGUGGAAAUUAAUCUGCACAUGAGCUACACUUCUAAUUAAAAAAUAAGUAAACCUGUUCAGCUUCAUAUUCCUCAAAACAUACAGCUACUAUGAGAUGUAGUGAUGGGUACACUUUACCUACAUAGACAGAUAGUUAAAAAUAUACAUAAAUGUAAUUCAUUGACAGAAAUGAAAGGCAGCUUACUGACAAUGGUGAUGCAUGUGUUUAGGUUACGGAUACGGGAUGCAGCAGGACUGCAGCACACGCUAAUAGGUAUUUUUAUUGUUUUUAUCACACCAAACAGUGCAAAAACAUAAAACACUUCCUGCCCUUCCUGUUGAUGUUCUGUCAGUGAUGUCACUUACACUCCACUAAAAGUUUCCAGAGCCGCGUAAUUACAACAUGCUCACAGAAUUCAUAUUCCCUGCCUCAGGUAAACAUCCUGUUUGGAAAUAAACGUGGUCUGGAUGUCCAGGAGAGCGAAAUUCAGGCACAAAGGAAGUAUAUUUGUAAACAUAAUCCAUUGUUGACCGAGAGAGGGGCUUUUAAAGUACAGCGGAAAAAAAUUAAAUACUUCAAAACAAUACUUCCAGAAACGUGUUUUGAAAAGCAUUCAUAUAUUUGAUCUCUUACUGAAAAGGAAAUGCAAUACAAAUCGGGGAAUUUGGGCUGUAUACAGUCACAUAACUGACAUUCUUCUUUGAAGGCAGAUAUCUCAUAGCAACAAAAAGAAAGGAGCUACUUAAUUAACCUGUUAUGUUCCGAGUUUGAUUUAUUAGGUAGUGAGAUUUCAUAAAAUUAACUUUAUUAUUUUUGGAUGGACCUAAAAUUUGUUUUGCCCUAUCUUUCUCCACCAAAAUGCAGCUAGCUCCUAUUCAUCUUAUGCCACCUGGUGAAGCUGGGACAUGACUUCGAUAAAUAUUUUUGAUCUCUGAAAGUUUGCUUGACUCUUUGACAGAGGAAGUAGGUCCUUUCUGUUGUUCAGCAUCAGCUCACGUACACUUCUGGUUGUUUCUGUAUUUUAGCCAAUUAUUUAGCUGGUGUGGCACAUUGCCUCUUUGGCUUUGUAUCUCUGUGCCGUAGGGGAAGCGACAUUUUUGUAGUUGGGUUAUGUGCAGCGAGGGGUGACCUUACAGUGGGUUAUUUGUCUGUUCAUAUGUCAAGUGUCUGUAUACUUACAUGUACAUGGGAAGUACAAGUCUAUUUCUGAGCAAGAAAGUAGUCUGAGGUGGUGACACUGGGUUUGUCAUUGGUGUUGUGGUGUCCCUAAGAAACCGUGCAGCAAUAACUUGGUUUCUGCAUGUUCACCGAUCUUAAGAUAAGGAAAAGGUAGUUCAGCUGGUUAGUGAUUUGCUAAGGAAGGGAAGACUUUGAUAAAUGAGAGAUGACUGUUGUCAAUGCUAGAGAUAGCUGAGAGUUGAGUUCACUCAGAGUGGUGACUUGCAGAUUGUAUGGAAGUCUUGUACAGUAGAUGCUUCGUUUCUCAUACCACACUGAGUUUGCCCUUCAUCAGAGCAGUUGUCAUGCUGUCACUUUCCAAAAUAAGACUUCUGUUCCCCUUUACUGCUGUCAGAUAUUAAAAACAGCCUUACAUGUGAAGUAUGUAGAUAGCACGUGGCUGUGUUUGCUGCACAGCUGAUGGAAGGUUUUUCUGUUCACGCUGUAAUCUGUCUGAUACUGGUAAACUGCUCAUGUGCUGGGGCUGGUAUGUGGUGCACCAUCCUGCUUAAACCCAGGCUCGGCAGACUGGGCAUUCUGUUCCCUCCGUAGUUCUGAUCCCCUGCCAGCCAGAGCCACACAAUAAAGCAUUGCAGCUGACUGCUGCACCAUGGAGGGAGGCACAGACGCUAAUACAGAGUAUUUAAUAUUGGAGUUAAUGCACCAUUGACUUCUUCCUUUUCAUUGCAGCUUUUGGAGGGCUAUGUAUGUCUCAUCAAAUAUCACUAGCUGAGCAGUUGCACAGCCAUCUCUCCAUGCCAUGAAAAGCAAAGAGCUUCACAUAGCCUUCUCUUCUGGCAAUCUCCUCCAACCCUCCAGCUUUAGUCCUGCCCAUGCCGAUUAGAUGAUAGCUCACCCCAACACCUCCCACACCUGCACCCACCACAACACUGUAGUUUCUACAACAUACUGUAUCUUCUCCUGAGGUAUUUGUUUGAGCUUCAGCUCUUAGAAGUUUUAAUCUUAUUGCCACCUUUCAAUUANAUUAUAUGUUUCUUUCCCCUCCUCUCGUCAUUUCGUUGACCUUUUUAGUGUCAAAGGUUCAUUGGAGAAAUGAGCUCAUGCUUCGUAUCGCCCACCUACAAGAGAGCAGUCAUGGAUUUGUUUUUCUGUAUUUCUACAGUUAUGUUUGGUGAUUGGAGUCAACUCCCUAAUGCAACUGCUGGAAAUCAGACCAGUCCUUUUAUGAAUGAUAGGAACUUUUUGAUUCUGUCUGUAGAGGGCAGGGAGGAUUUGGAUGAAUAUUAGAACGCUUAUUAACUGCUGAUGUAACUUCUUUGGCAACCAUUUCCAGUGUUCCCCAUGUUUCAAAAGACAGCAUUUUGACUACUGCGUUGUUCCUUGUCAGAAACUGGUAUUUUUGUGGAGUACCAGUUGUUUAUCCUUCUGAAAGUCAAGAAGUAUUCUUACCAAAUCUUAAUUAGUCAUCCCCGUGAUCAAUCCACUGUUGGUGACUGUGACAUCUUAGAACUGAGCAGUUUUGUCUGCUACGUUUGCAGGAGGAAAAAAAACAAUCAAAAUUGAAAAAAAAAAGCUCGCAAUAAUUUUCUAUUUGAAGACUGAUGGCGAGUGCCAAGUGACUUUUCUCAUGACUCCCUUUAUGGUUUGUGGCUCAGUGGUUGGAAUCAGCGUGUUUCGUUUCCAUUACUUGCUGUGCAUUAAAAUGUUUUUUUGCCUUUUUGGCUAGAUUUAUGAAAACCAACUCAGGCACUCUUGANCUGCAUCCACUAAGAUAC